AGCGUACGCUGGCGGCAGGCCUAACACAUGCAAGUCGAACGAACUCUUCGGAGUUAGUGGCGGACGGGUGAGUAACACGUGGGAACGUGCCUUUAGGUUCGGAAUAACUCAGGGAAACUUGUGCUAAUACCGAAUGUGCCCUUCGGGGGAAAGAUUUAUCGCCUUUAGAGCGGCCCGCGUCUGAUUAGCUAGUUGGUGAGGUAAAGGCUCACCAAGGCGACGAUCAGUAGCUGGUCUGAGAGGAUGAUCGGCCACAUUGGGACUGAGACACGGCCCAAACUCCUACGGGAGGCAGCAGUGGGGAAUCUUGCGCAAUGGGCGAAAGCCUGACGCAGCCAUGCCGCGUGAAUGAUGAAGGUCUUAGGAUUGUAAAAUUCUUCCACCGGGGACGAUAAUGACGGUACCCGGAGAAGAAGCCCCGGCUAACUUCGUGCCAGCCGCCGCCGUAA
rnacentral:rRNA from 1 species